rnacentral:rRNA from 1 species
GGAGGAUCCAAGCGUUAUCCGGAAUCAUUGGGUUUAAAGGGUCCGUAGGCGGUUUAAUAAGUCAGUGGUGAAAGCCCAUCGCUCAACGGUGGAACGGCCAUUGAUACUGUUAGACUUGAAUUAUUAGGAAGUAACUAGAAUAUGUAGUGUAGCGGUGAAAUGCUUAGAGAUUACAUGGAAUACCAAUUGCGAAGGCAGGUUACUACUAAUGGAUUGACGCUGAUGGACGAAAGCGUGGGUAGCGAACAGG